CCCCUCGAAGGCAGCGCAUCUCCUCCUCCCAGCGCUCCUUCAUCGAUUGGCAACUCUCCUCCUCCCUGUUGCCAAUCCGGAUCAAGAGCCCGAUGCAUCCUCCUCCCGCAUCGGGCUCUUCUU
rnacentral:sRNA from 17 species